GACUGCGGACGACAUUA
rnacentral:rRNA from 1 species